rnacentral:rRNA from 1 species
CCUANGGGAGGCAGCAAGUCGGAAUAUUUGUCAAUGGGCGAAAGCUUGAACAAGCAAUGCCGCGUGAGCGAUGAAGGCCUUCGGGUUGUAAAGCUCUGUGUUUUGGGAAGAAAAACUGGCACGUUAAUAACUUGCCAGAUUGACGGUACCAUAAUAGAAAGCCCCGGCUAACUACGUGCCAGCAGCCGCGGUGAUACGUAGGGGGCAAGCGUUGUUCGGAAUUACUGGGUGUAAAGGGCGUACAGGCGGCUGAGUAAGUCGGAUGUGAAAUCCUUGGGCUUAACCUGAGAACUGCAUUUGAUACUGCUCGGCUUGAGGUUAGGAGAGGAAAGCGGAAUAUGUGGUGUAGCGGUGAAAUGCGCAGAUAUCACAUAGAACACCGGUGGCGAAGGCGGCUUUCUGGCCUGACUCUGACGCUGACGCGCGAAAGCUAGGGGAGCGAACGGGAUUAGAUACCCUANUANUC